GUGACUUCGCGCCGCUGUGUGCGCCUCCCCGAGCGCCGGCUGCGCCCCCCAGCCCGGCCCGGGGCCUACCGCCUGCCCGGCCCCCUGCCACUGCCAGGAGGACGGCAUCAUGCUGUCUGCCGACUGCUCUUGAGCUUGGGCUGUCCGCCAUACCGGGGGACCUGGAUCCCCUGACGGCUUACCUAUUCCAUGUCAGUAGAGGCAAACCUUUACAGGAUUAUGAAUACAAAAUGCCACUGGUCUCCUGAAGAUACAGCAGCAAAAUGAAACAUCCACAAAUAUGACUUAAAUUGAGAAUAUGUGCAUGUAUAUAACUCCACCCUUCACUGUGCUGCGAUUGUUCUCUGGACCACUCCUAUUUCAUCAGUGUUAUUGUCAACCUGAAGAACAAGCAGAAAGAGGCUCUCUGAAAUGAAAUGGGUGCCUAUUUGGGAAGAGAGCAUUGCAACGGGAAUACACAUGCCAUCGUAAAUGACAAGAAUAUUCAGGGAGGACCCCAUCACAUUUGGCUGCCAUAUCUCCUUGGACUCCUCUUGGCUGUGACAGGGUCUCAGACGGCCCUUGCCGUUGAUGACCUUGAUGGUUUGAGGAGCCCUGGUCAGGUGCAUUGCAGGACGCUCCUCAGUUGGGAUUUGUCUGAGGCUUUCCUCAUAAAUAGCCUGGGGUUAUGGGUUUUGGGAGGAAGACCACACAGGUAAAUGCCAUUCUCAUCAUGUCAUAACAAGGGUACACACGCUGCUGACAUGACCCUUCACUGACAGUGGUGGCUGUGGUCGGCUGGCUAAGGUCUCCCCACUGUGAAGUCCUCCUCUCCAUGCUGUACUCUCUGGAAGGACGUCGCCAUGCACAGCCCACACUUAGGGGUAUGGGUUGUGCUCCACUUCCAAGGAGGAGAAGUAGCUACAUGAGUGACUGGGAAAUGUCCUGGGGGGGAUACUCACCCAUGCCUCCACAUUACUUAUGUACUCAAUCUUCUAUUUAUAUUGCUAUGGACUCAUGGAUACUCAGCCCAUGCUCAGGCUGGACUCCAGUGUGACUUUGCUUCUUUUCCUGCUCAGCUUCUUCGAGGUUGGCCUUGGCAAGCUCCCGUGGUGGGUUCCCGGCUCCUGUGUGCCUCUGACAGGUGCUCAUCACUUGGCUUUUUGGGCAUCUCCCUCCUUAAUUUCUGCUACUAAAGAUGCUCCUGGCUUAUCUUCUGCAUGUCCUGCCUUUGCCCUUGAAUCAGUCAAUUCUCCAAGAAGCUCUGGCUCCUUUCCUAGAACGGUGUUAGAAACCAAGAUCUGGGCACUGGUGUGUUCAUUGCUAGUGAGGUGUUGUUGCUUCUAGACUCUCUCAGCUGAUAGAGCAAGGGAAUGUUUAAGCCAUUUAGAACAUAAAUGCAUUCAUUUAAAAACAUGGACUAUGUAUUCACUGUGCCUUGGGCCCCAAGCUGGGUGUUGAUGAUCUUGAGAAAAUAAAUCAAGGAAGCCCAUGGUCUAGGGUAGUGCUGGUGAGGAGCUAACAGACUCUUGAGAUGGCACUAGGGCCAUGGCAGAGACAGACCUGGACACUAGUGGGACCCAGCAAAGACCCACAGCAGCCUGGGGAGGCGGCUUCCAGAGUGCUGCGACUUUGGAACAUGAAUACUCCUCAGGGUUCACAAAGGAGCCUGGGGGGUAUUCCAGGACCAGCUGGUAGUGGGGGCAAAGAUUGGGUCAUGAACUAUGGGGAAUGCAGGAAUUGCAAGAGGUUGAACAUGCCUGGGGGUGCAGAGACAGAGGCGGAAGGUGCAGGGCAGUCUGAGACAUGGUUAGGAACCUGGGCAUUCUCUUGAGAGACAGGGGAGAAGAAAAUUCAGAUGGAGCAUUCGUUUCAGGAAGGCCACCCUGGGAUCUGGGCAGGAGAUGAAUACCUGGGCAGGGUGAGGGAAAGGAAGGUAAUUGAAAGUUUACAAAAACAAAACCCCAUUCACAUUCUUAAAGUAUUCUUCAUAGAGGUACUAUUUCAAUAAACACAUGCUUUAUUUGUAUAUUAUAACAGAUGAAUUUUCUUCACUGGCAAUUUCUAUCUUUAACUAUCAAAUUUAAGCCUUUUCUGUAAUACCCGUGAGCUCUUUUAUUGGGUGGGAUGACCCAGGGUCCAGCCAGGGAUUCUCCUCCACAGAGUGAGAACACGGUGAAGCAUAGCUGGGACUCAGGGCGAGGUGGCGAUUCAGGGGGGUUUCCAGGCAGAAUGGAUCCCUUUAGCUUCGACUAGUGCACCUGCCCCCGGGAGCAGGUCUCCAGGCAGAAUGGAUCCCUUUAGCUUUGACUAGUGCACCUGCCCCCGGGAGCAUCUGGGGCUGUUAGAGAAGCUGCGGGCAGCCUCCACUCAGCCCAAUCAGAUGGCACACACCCACCUCACGGGGACCUGUGCACAGCCCGAUGGUCCCAGCUCUGCAGGGAGAGAGGAUUAGACCCUGUGUGGCAUAACGACACCAGUUUCUGGAAAAUGUUGGAGUUCUAGAAGUAUAAUAAAAUAAUUUUUCAAUUAA
rnacentral:lncRNA from 1 species